AGAAGGGGGCGAGAGCAGGGGUAAACAGCACUGAAAGAGAAAAGGAAGUGAGAAUGAAAGAGGAAAAGUGUUUGAAAGAAGACGAUAAGAAGGAAGUAAUUAAAGACCACCUGAAAUCAGUACCACCAGACACUGAGGAUCUUCCAUGGAGAAUCCCCGCCAGGCUUGUAUCAUGCCUGUUUUCACUCCCUGCUUGUUUAAGUCUUAUCUUAAGUGAAAUGCAGCUCAGUUUGGAUUCAGGCAACCAGGACACUCAGUCUGCUUAGGUAAUACAUCAUCGCAGCUUGAAAGCCCCCCAUGUGGGCAGCUAAUGAGCCCAAAUGAGGCUGAUUAGCCACCAAGCCUCAAACGGCCCUGACAGGUCAUCCAGGAGCUCCCACUGAGACACACAGAGUCAAAACAUCGCAGACUGACUGACUGACUCCUCUCUCUCUGCUCCACUUGAGGCCUUUUUCAUAAAAGAUUUACUUCACCUCUGAUGUCCUUGGUUUUCUCAUUAGGCGUCUAAACCCAGAUUUCUCUGAAGCCCAAUUUGGACAUCUGAGUAAAACGUAAAUAAAUGCUUUAGUACAUCUUCAACAUUGUCACAAAACCAAAAACUGAAACAAAGCUAAAUUCUCAAACAAAAUUCCAUCAUUCAUUAACAUCACAAUAACUAAGCUUACUAGCAAAGUUAGUAGCAGGAGAAGGUGCGUGUUAGCAUUUGAAUGGAAAUAACCUUGCAGUUGUAAAAGUGAAGCGAAUUGUGAAUGAUGUGAUACGUAUAAAGCGUCCAAUUUCAUGCAAGGAUUAAACAAACGUGUCAUGAAUGAAUGAAUGAAUGAACAAAUAAAAAGAAGAUGAAGAAAAUGCCACCAUUUUAUCUCCAUUUAAGUAACUCAAGUCAAUAAUAAUAAUAAUAAAAAAACGAUUGAACAUGGAGUUUAUAAGUAAGGAAGUAAGUCAGUCAGUCAGUAAAUAAACAAACAAGUAAUCAUGUUAUUCACAUGACCAACAUUAAAAAUGAGUUGUUUUUUUUUUGUUUUGUUUUUUUUUAAGUUGAACAUAAUAAUGUUAUAUCCUUGAAUGAUUAUUAAAAGUAAAGUAAAAGGACAUUAAAAAACAUG
ensembl:lncRNA